AGGAUUAAAUGGGCUGGCAUUCAUAAGGCUCCUAGGACCUGCUUGGUGCUUGAACAGAAGUCAAAUGUGCUAAUUCGUGGUUUACAUGGAAUACCUCCAUUCCUGCCUGUACUCCUGUCUCCACCUGCUGCCACUGGAAGGGUUGCUUGGAGCUUUGCCAUAAUCUUUACCUUCAGCCAGGGAGAAAGGAGAAGGCUGCCCAAGGCAGGGAGUGCUUGGGGGAGCAUCCUGCAGGAAUGCGCUCUGUGGACUUUGCUCAGUUCAGACCAACAGGUGUUCAUCGCAUUCCAGGCCUGUUUGAUUCCAGGAAUGCACAGGUGAGUCUUGACAGUUCAAUACUGUGGAGGGAUCUGGAGAACGCCAAGUGACUGUGGUGAUGGGAAGGUCAUGAAAACCA
rnacentral:lncRNA from 1 species